CAAUAGCGUAUAUUAAAGUUGUUGCAGUUAAAAAGCUCGGAGUUGAAUUUUUGCUUGCCGCCGAUGUCGGAACUUCCGUACGUUCGGCGGCGUGCAUCCUUGGGUGGAACCUGUGUGGCAUUAGGUUGUCGUGCAGGGGAUGCUCAUCGUUUACUGUGAAAAAAUUAGAGUGUUCAAAGCAGGCUUACGCCGUUGAAUAUAUUAGCAUGGAAUAAUAAGAUAGGACCUUGGUACUAUUUUGUUGGUUUGCGCACCGAGGUAAUGAUUAACAGGGACAGUUGGGGGUAUUCGUAUUCCAUUGUCAGAGGUGAAAUUCUUGGAUUUCUGGAAGACGAACUACUGCGAAAGCAUUUACCAAGGAUGUUUUCAUUAA
rnacentral:rRNA from 1 species